UAAUAGCGUAUAUUAAUGUUGUUGCAGUUAAAAAGCUCGUAGUUGGAUUUUGGUGUUUGACAAACGGUCGGCCUUACGGUUGGUACUGUUUGUUGGCACUUCUUUUCUGGGGAACUCACUGUUCUUAAUUGAAGGGUGUUGUAACGCAGAUCGUUUACUUUGAAAAAAUUAGAGUGUUCAAAGCAGGCCGUCGCAUUGAAUACAUUAGCAUGGAAUAAUGGAAUAGGACUUUGGUCUUAUUUUGUUGGUUUCUAAGGCCGAGGUAAUGAUUAAUAGGGAUAGUUGGGGGCAUUCGUAUUUAACUGUCAGAGGUGAAUACUUGGUAGUUGUUUAAAGUAACGGACGUACUGCGAAAGACAUUUGUCCAACGGAAGUGUUUUCUUAUUG
rnacentral:rRNA from 1 species